ACGCUGGUCCCUCCCUGUGCCAGAACGGCGGCUGUGCGGGCUUUUGGCUGCGUCCGCAUCAUACUGUUACGGAUAUGAGAUGCAGCAAUAACUUAUGAAAUGUAGUGUGAAGGCCAAGGACUUAAGACAGUUUUAAAAGGGGAUUAUACAGAUUCAUGGAAGAAAAGGCUGUCAAUGGCUCGUCAUCACGAUGGCCAUGCAUUUCAGCCAGAAUCAGAGGCGGCAUCUCUAAACACCAGUCGCUAAGGAACCACAGAAGGAGAAGGAGGGCGCUGCCCUCAUGUCCCUUAGGCAUCUGGCUGACCACUCAAGGAAACUGGAUGCUGGACGAGCAGCACCAAAGGAACCUCCCUGUGGCGCACGCUUGGGCAGAGUGUAUGGGGGUCCUGGGCAGCCCAGACAACAAGACCCCCUCUCCCAGCCUCACAGAUGUGGUCCAAAGGAAAGCAGAGCAAUACAUUUGGCACCAGCUUGGCUGCAAGAGUUUCCGGAAGGAGGCAUACAAGAGACUACUGUGGAACAAAAGGAGUAUAUGCUGCAGGACUUUUUCACUGUGACAGAGACUUGAACCUUGGAGGCAUCUUCCUCAACAGCCUUCUAACGAAAAGGAUAUCCUCCCAAAUGUUGUUUCAGACCCCCAGUCACUGCAGUACAAUUGCAUACAUUGAAAAUGUGCAACCAGCCAUGAGUUGAGCAGUCUGCAUGAAUGCAGGACAUUUCCUUUUUUCCAGGCUUCAUUGGAGAACUCCACUGGAGGCUGGAUGGGGUUGGGGCUGGUGAGGCAGUCAUGGGCUCUCCCAUCCAUUUUUUUCACCUGCUUUUAUCAUUUGUCUCAACUCCCAGCCCCCACCCUACCAACCUGCUUGGCGAAGAAGUGUGUGAAUGGCAGCACCAGAUGGAAGAGAGGCAGGAAAAGCCCCAUUCUCAGAUUUAAAGGGGGAAACUCUGGGUUGCAAACUGACAGCUGUGAUGAAACUGACCAGAGGCUUCCAAUAGGGUAAGCACCAUGUGUUUUCCUGUAGAAACACCAUUGUGCACAACUAGAUGCCCUCGUCUGCCCCAGCUGCAACAAAAUAUGCCUCUCCUGCAUUGGUCUCAACAGCCACAGCAGGAGCUGUAACUUUCUUUUUUUGCCGUAAUAUUUUUUAUUAAUUUUCAUCAAGAAAAAUACAUAUCGCACCACAUUACAACUUUAACAAAUUUUCUCAUUUUUGGACUUCCUUCAGCCUCUCUGACAAUCAUCCGUAUUAGACUUUUUAAUUACACAUUUCCUAAAUUUUCUAUUGCCUUUUAACAUACUCUUCCACACCUGUUUUUCUUUCUUACAGUAUUUCUUAGGUUUUUACAGAGCUUCUUUAAAUGCCACUAACGUUAUUUCAUUAUCACUUAUACAUUCCUAAUACUCCAC